CAAAACCAUCAGUGUGACAUGACAGCAUCACCAGGGGCUGACGGAGAUCUGCGUACCCAGGACCCGCCCAGCUCACGCAGGCCUGACAGAGAAGUCCAGCAUGUGAGGGCCCCGAGUUCACUCUUGUCUCGUGAAGAAGCACUGAAGAAUCUGUGCCCCUGCCGAGUCCGGAUGAGAUGCCCAAGCUGUACAGAGUCAUGCAGGAUGGGGGCAGCAGGUGGCACCAGAGGUUUCCCUUUGACAGACUGUCCUCGAGGAACCAGGGGUUCUCAAUUGCACGACAAAGAUGUUCCCCGUCUACGCCGGCGCUGGUCUGAGUGAGGGUUCCAGGCCAGUGUUCUGACCAGGAUGGGAACACAGAGGAUGAGGUUGUGGAAACACGUGGAUGCUGUCACUGCGUCGACUGAAAAGAUUUGGAGGGUCCCUUCUGAAGUUAACAAAGCCACGUUUCAAAUGGCUCUUGCUGGGACCCCAAGUUCUAGUGCAUGGUGACAAGCUGGGAAAGUCACAUGUCGAGGACGACAUCUGUGACGACACAGGAGGAGGAGGACCCUGGGAGUCACAGCGGGGUCAGACGGGUCUCAGCACACGGCUCCACGCAGAUCGGCCGCCACAUGUGGGCUGCGCUCUCUGCAGAUGGAACAGAGAGGCUGGACUGCAGCAGUUCAUGCUUGCCCCAGGUGAACGUGUUAAAGACGUCACUACUGUCGUCUUUAUCCUGCGCUUUCCAACCACGCGUGCUUCUGUGUUCUGUGAUCCAAGCUUGCAACCUUCCUUGACUUCUUCCUUUGUUUCCUUCGUAGGUUUUCUUCAAGUCACCAACUUCCGUCAGUUCUGGAGCAGCCUCUCCCCACCCCAUCUCCCCGGCGUUGCUCAGUCCUGCUCCUUCCCUGUCACUCUCACUGUCACUGUCUCCAAGUCCAGUGACGGCCACAUAGUUCCUCUGUCGGUUUAUUCUUUCAGUCAUCAAUGUUCUUUUUUCUCCACAGGAUCAAAUCCGUAGGGCCCCCGAAAUUUGGCAAUGCCCCACCCUCCUCCUAGUCUUCAGUACCAAUAUCCCAAACAACACGUGCAUGGUCUUUCUCAUCGUAAAUCUUGGUCAUGGAGCUUCCCCGAAAUGAGAUCCCCUCCUCUCUCAUAUGUACUAAAGUGAACUGGCCUCGAGGCUCAGCUGCUUUCCACCUGCUAACGGAGAAAUCUCUGAUCGUGGCAGCACCAGCGUCUCGUGCACGGGAAGCAAGGCCGCUUCGAACACACCUCAUUCAGCGCCCAGGCUGCCUGCUCCUGCCCUGGCCCGUGGCUCUCCCUGAGAACAGGACUUCCCACUGGGAGGCAGGAGUUUCUGGACUGUGGGUCCCACGUUCCUGCGUAGAGAUGAAAUGCUGAGUGAUCAGAACCGCGUGUCCCCUGUGCUCAGCUUCUAAAUCAAGAGCCAGAGGAAGAUGGGGGAUGCGACACCUGAAAGUCCCCGAGGUCAUUUGGGGCCAGCGUCUCACAUCGGGUUCCAGAAUCAACAAGUCGGUGUGCUAGGGUUUACUCUCCAUCUGUUUUCUUAGAAAAAACAGUCAGACGCUUCGUUCCAACAGGACUCCCUCCCGCUGACUCUGUGACGUUAACUGUAGAAACAGCCACGACGUUGAAAGGUUUGAAGACUCAGACCCACACGGCUAAAGAAAAGGAAAGGACAGUUUUCUUUGGUUUUAUUGCUAAAUACGCUUAUACGUAUGACACAAUCACACGAUUCUAC
ensembl:lncRNA